GGGGGUGUAUCUCAGUGGUAGAGUAUAUGCUUAGCAAUUACAAGGCCCUGGAUUUGAAUCCCAGAACCAUUCCCC
rnacentral:tRNA from 1 species